rnacentral:rRNA from 1 species
AAUAGAUACCCAGGUAGUCCACGCCGUAAACGAUGAGUGCUAAGUGUUAGAGGGUUUCCGCCCUUUAGUGCUGCAGCUAACGCAUUAAGCACUCCGCCUGGGGAGUACGGCCGCAAGGCUGAAACUCAAAGGAAUUGACGGGGGCCCGCACAAGCGGUGGAGCAUGUGGUUUAAUUCGAAGCAACGCGAAGAACCUUACCAGGUCUUGACAUCCUCUGACAACCCUAGAGAUAGGGCUUUCCCCUUCGGGGGACAGAGUGACAGGUGGUGCAUGGUUGUCGUCAGCUCGUGUCGUGAGAUGUUGGGUUAAGUCCCGCAACGAGCGCAACCCUUGAUCUUAGUUGCCAGCAUUCAGUUGGGCACUCUAAGGUGACUGCCGGUGACAAACCGGAGGAAGGUGGGGAUGACGUCAAAUCAUCAUGCCCCUUAUGACCUGGGCUACACACGUGCUACAAUGGAUGGUACAAAGGGCUGCAAACCUGCGAGGGUAAGCGAAUCCCAUAAAGCCAUUCUCAGUUCGGAUUGCAGG